rnacentral:rRNA from 1 species
UACGUAGGGGGCAAGCGUUGUCCGGAAUCAUUGGGCGUAAAGAGCGUGUAGGCGGCCCGAUAAGUCCGCUGUGAAAGUCCAGGGCUCAACCCUGGAAUGCCGGUGGAUACUGUCGGGCUCGAAUCCGGAAGAGGUGAGUGGAAUUCCUGGUGUAGCGGUGAAAUGCGCAGAUAUCAGGAAGAACACCCGUGGCUAAGGCGGCUCUCUAGUACGGGACUGACGCUGAGACGCGAAAGCGUGGGGAGCGAACAGG